rnacentral:rRNA from 2 species
CGGUGGCGAAGGCGGCCCCCUGGACAAAGACUGACGCUCAGGUGCGAAAGCGUGGGGAGCAAACAGGAUUAGAUACCCUGGUAGUCCACGCCGUAAACGAUGUCUACUUGGAGGUUGUGCCCUUGAGGCGUGGCUUCCGGAGCUAACGCGUUAAGUAGACCGCCUGGGGAGUACGGCCGCAAGGUUAAAACUCAAAUGAAUUGACGGGGGCCCGCACAAGCGGUGGAGCAUGUGGUUUAAUUCGAUGCAACGCGAAGAACCUUACCUGGUCUUGACAUCCACAGAACUUUCCAGAGAUGGAUUGGUGCCUUCGGGAACUGUGAGACAGGUGCUGCAUGGCUGUCGUCAGCUCGUGUUGUGAAAUGUUGGGUUAAGUCCCGCAACGAGCGCAAC